rnacentral:rRNA from 1 species
ACAGUUCGAUCCUAGCUCAGAUGAAUGAUGGCGGCAUGCUUAACACAUGCAAGUCGAACGGGAAGUGGUGUUUCCAGUAGCGACGUGAGUAACGCGUAAGAACCUAUCCUUGGGAGGGAACAAUAGUUGAAACGGUUGCUAAUACCCCGUAAGUUGAGGAGCAAAAGGAGGAAUCCGCUCGAGGAGGGGCGCGUCUAUUAUUUAUAUACCAAGGAUAAUUAAUAGCUAGUCUGAGAAGAUGAUUAGCCACACUAGGACUAAGACAUAGCCCAGACUCCUACGGAGGCAGCAGUGGGGAAUUUCUGCAAUUGGCGAAAGCUUGAUAGAGCAAUGCCGUGUUGAAGUAAAAGGCCCACCGGUUGUGAACUUUUUUUCCCGGAGAAGAAGCAAUGACCAUAUCUGAGGAAUAAGCAUCGACUAACUCUGUGCCAGCAGCUGCGGUAAUACAAAGGAUGUAAGCGUUAUCCGGAAUGAUUGGACGUAAAGCGUCUGUAGGUGGCUCUUUAAGUCCACCGUCAAAUCCCAAAGCUCAAUCCUGGACAGGCGGUGGAAACUACCAAGCUGGAGUAUGGUAGGGGCAGAGAGAAUUUCCGGUGGAGCGGUGAAAUGCGUAGAGAUCGAAAAAACACCAACGACGAAAGCACUCUGCUGGCCGACACUGACACUGAAAGGCGAAAGCUAGGGGAGCGAAUAGGAUUAAUACCUCAGUGGUCCUAGCCGUAAAUGAUGAAUAGGCCCUGUGCGUAUCGACCCGUGCAGAGCUGUAGCUAACACAUUAAAUAUCCCGCUUGGGAAGUAUAUUUGCAAGAAUGAAACUCAAAGGAAUUAACGAGGCUCGCACAAACGGUGGAGCAUGUGGUUUAAUUUGAUGCAAAGCGAAGAACCUUACCAAGGCUUGACAUGACACGAAUCCUCUUGAAAGAGAAGUGUGCCUUCGGGAACGCGGACAGAGGUGGUACAUGGCUAUCGUCAACUCGUGGGUAAGGUGUUGGGUUAAGUCUUGCAACGAGCGCAACCCUCAUGUUUAGUUGCCACCGUUGAGUUUGGAACCCUGAACAGACUGCCGGUGAUAAGUUGGAGAAAUGUAAAGAUGACAUCAAAUCAUCAUACCCCUUAUGCCCUGGGCGACACACGUGCUACAAUGGUCGGGACAAAGGGUCACGAUCUCGCGAGGAUGAGCUAACUCCAAAAACCCGUCCUUAGUUUGGAUUGCAGGCUGUAACUCACCUGCAUGAAGCCGAAAUCGCUAGUAAUCAUUAGUCAGCCAUACGACGGUGAAUUCGUUCCGGGCCUUGUACAUACCACCCGUCACAUUAUGGUGCUGGCCAUGCCUAAAGUCGUUACCUUAACCAUAAGGAGGGAUGCCGAAGGCAGGGCUAGUAACUGGAGUGAAGUCGUAACAAGGUAGCCGUACUGGAAAGUGCGGCUA